rnacentral:misc_RNA from 1 species
UUUCCGUAGGUGAACCUGCGGAAGGAUCAUUAGCGAGAUAAACACCGGUCCUCGCGGCCGGAUCUCCCGUCCUCAUGUCAUCAGUACUGUGGGGUGCGUCGAGAGAUGCGCUCCGCAGAAUUACGUUUCGGCGGAGGUGUUGCGUGAUGUGGUCUGGGCUUGGGGUUACCCGGCCCGGCCUGUGCGCGACCGCCGUCGGUCUUUACAACUCUUGUGAAAACCUGAAGCCUGAAGCAAACACAAAAUCAUAUAAAACUUUCAACAACGGAUCUCUUGGCUCUGGCAUCGAUGAAGAACGCAGC